GAGAGGCACCAGAUAUGGGUGCCUGAAAUCAAAUCCAGGACCUCCACAGUAGCAUCAAGUGCUCUAAACCACUGGGCUGUCUCUCUAGCUCCUAGACCUGGUCUUUGAACGGGGCACUUCUUUUUCUCCAUGACGACACUGGAAGCUUGACCCCUGACCUUUAUUACAGUGACUUUGAACUUCUUUGUUAUGGAUGUUUCAAGGCUAGGACCUGAGUUUAGCUACCAGCACUCUUGUGACUGGGAACAGGCCACUCAACAACCACCUAUAACUUCAGCUCCAGAGGAUCUGAUGCCCUUUUCUGAACUCUCCAAGCAAGUACGCAAAUGUGCA